GGGCCGGAUGAAAUUCAUUUGGGGCAAUGAUGCUGAGGAAUAUAAACCAGAGAGAUGGCUCAACGAGGAUGGUGUGUUUCAGCAAGAGAGCCCUUUCAAGUUUACUGCCUUCCAGGCUGGGCCACGAAUGUGUCUAGGGAAAGAAUUUGCUUAUAGACAGAUGAAGAUUUUCUCAGCCGUUUUGUUGGGCUCUUUCAUUUUCAAACUCAGCGAUGAAAAGAAGGCCGUCAACUACCGCACAAUGAUUAAUCUUCAUGUUGAUGGUGGCCUCCAUGUUUGUGCAUUUCACAGAUACAAAACUUGAUAUCAUAUCUGUUAUAUGAAGCAUGGAUGUGACAUCAAGCUGAAAACUAUUCAUGGGUAUAAAACAUAUUUAAGGUAUUUGGUGGAACCUUGCUACUCCUUUAAGCUUUAAAUAAUGUUUGCUUUUUGUAGAAAGAGAUAAUUCUUAUUGAUUUCAAUUAAUCUAUACAUGGGUAUAUAUAUACAAUUAUUCCUAUAAUUGUGUUCCACUAAUUAGGAAGAAAUCCUAAA
rnacentral:misc_RNA from 1 species